GGAUGCUAAGGGGAAAUGGAGGAAAAGAAGGUUUUAUCCCCAAAGGAACAGAACAAUUCAUACCUAUCCAGAUCCCAAUGAGCCUAGAAUUCCUAAACCAUUAUGUAAAGAGUCAUGGAGAACAACCUCUGUGGAAUAUUCAACGGGUCUAAGCCAUUAUUUGUGGAUUCCAGCGUUCCAAUAAGAAGACUGGAACAGAACUGUACUGAUGGGUCAACUACAAGCCAUCCUUUUCCCGAGUGAUAUGUUUGGUCAGUGGACGGUGAAGAUCCCAGGGGGUGUCCUCGGAGAGCAUGGCACAGAGGACAGAAGCAGGAAGAAACAGAGCCCCAAGAAAAGCUGUCAGAGACAAGUCUGCAACCUGAAGACUUAAACCUUGCCAGUUUAAACUGGCUCUGUGUAUGGUGAUAACGAGACUGGAGGACGGACAGGUUGAAUCAGGAGACAGCUGGAUGGACAUGCUGAUCUGCAGUAAGGCCUCUGCGCUGUGCAAUUCCUAAGUCUAGACUGGAAGUGAAAUGUAAAGACCUACACAUUACUAGACCAUAUUUUGGAAUAGAAACCAUUUUAGUGUUAAAAAAAAAAACCCUGAAAUUUGAAAUAAUUGGAAGACUCAGUGAAUAAUAAUGGAUCACCACAAGUUUCUAUUUUUACACAUGUACCA